rnacentral:lncRNA from 1 species
AUUCUAGUUUAUAACUGAAAAAUGUACAGCGCUGUAGUGCAUGCAUUUUGAUAUAACAUUUGAUAUAAAUUCGCUUUUUAUUAUACUAAAAUAAAAUUAAAGUGGAGUUUUAAGCAUUUAUACUUGGUGUAUGCUCCCCAUGUGCACUUUAAUAGAAUAUUAGAAUAAUUGGGAUAACUAUUAACAGGCCUACUUUAUGAUAUGAUAUGAUAUGCACGUAACGAUUUUUCAUAAAUGGCAAUAGCGUGAAUACAUGCAUUCACGUGCAGUAAUUGUGCCCGCAUAUUUAAGAGUCUUAAGCGCGUGUUUCCUCCAUGCACUAACCUCUCCUGUGUUAAUCAGGUGCCUGUGUGAGCUGCUCCAUUAUGAUUGCACUGUGAAAGGAGGUUGAUGCUAUCUUUGGUUAUCUAGCUGUAUGAGUGUUUCUAUGCCGUCAUAAAGCUAGAUAACCGAAAGUAGGAACGGCCUCCUCUGCUGCAGGACAGCAGCACACGCGCACGUGCCCGGUGGAGCCCCUGUAAGAACACAGCUCCUCCCUGAUGCAGCGUCUCUGUGAGAGACCGGAGGACCAUUCACUGGAACAAAACCAUCUGAACCAAGUUGAUGAUACCCUGCUUCGCUGUGCAGUUCCAUUGUUCCUGACCCAACGUCUUCCAUCAGUUCCAUCCGUUCCACACCUUCCAUCAAUUUGACCUGAAUGAAGAUGACUGGAUUGGCCACCACAACCUGCUCAAACCUAUUGGACGAUCAAAUGAACUGAACUGCAGUGCAAGUACUAUUAGAGGAAUGACAUAAGACGAAUUUGAGCAAAUCUUGGUACUUGAACCUAAUGACAAUCUAUAUAAAAACAUAUGCAUGCUUCAAGCUGCAUAUCGUUGUUCUACAAAGGCCAGGUGCGUUCAGACUGCAGAGCCCCGACCGACGAGAAUGUGCCUUAAUGUGUGAACUGUUUACAAUGAAAGAGUAGUGUGCGGCUAUUAAUAGAGUAGACGAUACUGUACAGUGAGUGCUAAUGAACGUGUGAGUCAUUUCUGUUCCGCUUCUGUUUUAAAUGUGCUUUUAAUGUCUCUCUGUGACUAAAUGAACUGUACGUCCUCCCAUGAUGAACAUUAUAUCCAUUAAAACUUGUCUUUCCUGUGAGGGAUCUCAAGUCAUACAGGAAAUGGUGCUCUUUGCUUAAUAAUCAGGAUAUUACUCGUAUUACUCUGGCACGUGUUAAAUACCCAAAUGAGGAGCUGAAAUCUCAUUCUCUGUGUGUUAAACAGCAAUGUAUGAAAUGGAAUCAAUAAAGGUGUGCAAUAUGAAAGUGACCUUUAAGAG